GAUUGGCUCAGGAUGAACGCUAGCUACAGGCUUAACACAUGCAAGUCGAGGGGCAGCGGGAUUGAAGCUUGCUUCAAUUGCCGGCGACCGGCGCACGGGUGAGUAACGCGUAUCCAACCUUCCGUACACUCAGGGAUAGCCUUUCGAAAGAAAGAUUAAUACCUGAUGGUAUGAUGAGAUUGCAUGAUAGCAUCAUUAAAGAUUUAUCGGUGUACGAUGGGGAUGCG
rnacentral:rRNA from 1 species